GCUCAUGUAGCUCAGUCGGUAGAGCGUUAGGCCUUUAACCUGAAUGUUUAGGUUUCGACCCCUUGCAUGGGCG
rnacentral:tRNA from 1 species